ACAGGCUAAAAGAAAAAAGAAAGCCUUGAUUAAAACUGCACUUGAAACACGAGAUUCUUCACGUCCAAGAUGCAGCUCCCACAAUGGAAAGACAAAGUUAUUCGAGCCAGAAACAUGGGGUCAGAGAGUGCAUCUGAUUUGCACAACUGCACAGCAACUUGCAUCGGCCUGUUAGAGGCAGAGGAGUAGCUGGAACAUCAGGGGAACCACAGCCGGCUCCAACUUUCUUCAGGCAAAACUUCCUGACUCCUCACUAUUGUGAAGCGGUAACAAUCCCUGUAACGUAAUGCCCCUGCUGGCAUCACCUUGUCCAGGGCAGGUGAUUCACUGGUUGGUCACUUCGCCGGGGUCACCCGACUCCAGUUGUCUUUCCUGCCUGGUGCAGGGGGCUGGACCCAAUGAUCCUCCGAGGUUCCUUCCAGCCCUUCGCAAUCUAUGAAUAUAUAUUUCUGUAGCAUGUGUCUAAUAAAACAGACGCGUCUCUGU